rnacentral:rRNA from 1 species
UACAGAGGAGCCAAGCGUUGUCCGGAUUGACUGGGCGUAAAGCGCACGCAGGCGGACUCGCGCGUGGGGUGUGAAAUCUGGCCGCUUAACGGCCAGGCGCCAUCCCAUACGGCGCGUCUGGAGUGAUGCAGAGGUCGAUGGAAUUGCCGGUGUAGUGGUGAAAUGCGUAGAGAUCGGCAGGAACACCCAGGGGGAAACCAGUCGACUGGGCAUCUACUGACGCUGAGGUGCGAGAGCGUGGGGAGCGAACCGG